UACGAAGGGGGCUAGCGUUGUUCGGAAUUACUGUGCGUAAAGCGCACGUAGGCGGAUUGUUAAGUGAGGGGUGAAAUCCCAGGGCUCAACCCUGGAACUGCCUCUCAUACUGGCAAUCUCGAGUUCGAGAGAGGUGAGUGGAAUUGCGAGUGUAGAGGUGAAAUUCGUAGAUAUUCGCAGGAACACCAGUGGCGAAGGCGGCUCACUGGCUCGGAUACUGACGCUGAGGUGCGAAAGCGUGGGGAGCAAACAGG
rnacentral:rRNA from 1 species